rnacentral:rRNA from 1 species
GAUGAACGCUGGCGGCGUGCCUAAUACAUGCAAGUCGAGCGAACAGACGAGGAACUUGCUCCUCUGACGUUAGCGGCGGAAGGGUGAGUAAAACGUGGAUAACCUACCUAUAAGACUGGGAUAACUUCGGGAAACCGGAGCUAAUACCGGAUAAUAUAUUUAACCGCAUGGUUCAAUAGUGAAAGACGGUUUUGCUGUCACUUAUAGAUGGAUCCGCGCAGCAUUAGCUAGUUGGUAAGGUAACGGCUUACCAAGGCAACGAUGCUUAGCCGACCUGAGAGGGUGAUCGGCCACACUGGAACGGAGCCACGGCCCAGACUCCUACGGGAGGCAGCAGUAGGGAAUCUUCGGCAAUGGGCGAAAGCCUGACGGAGCAACGCCGCGUGAGUGAUGAAGGUUUCCGGAUCGUAAAACUCUGUUAUUAGGGAAGAACAAAUGUGUAAGUAACGAUGCACGUCUUGACGGUACCUAAUCAGAAAGCCACGGCUAACUACGUG